rnacentral:rRNA from 1 species
GUCCACGCCCUAAACGAUGUCAACUAGUCGUUGGAGGAAUUUAAUCCUUUAGUGACGCAGCUAACGCGAUAAGUUGACCGCCUGGGGAGUACGGUCGCAAGAUUAAAACUCAAAGGAAUUGACGGGGGCCCGCACAAGCGGUGGAGCAUGUGGUUUAAUUCGAUGCAACGCGAAGAACCUUACCAGCCCUUGACAUGUAGCGAACUUUCUAGAGAUAGAUUGGUGCCUUCGGGAACGCUAACACAGGUGCUGCAUGGCU